GGGAGUGCGCUGGUGCGGCGAUGGGAUUUAUACACCCGUUGAGCAGUAGAUGACUGUCAGAGCGAGAGUUCGAUCCUCUCCACUCCUACCA
rnacentral:tRNA from 1 species